rnacentral:rRNA from 1 species
GACGAACGCUGGCGGCGUGCCUAAUACAUGCAAGUCGAACGAGAGCGACCGGUGCUUGCACUGGUCAAUCUAGUGGCGAACGGGUGAGUAACACGUGGGUAACCUGCCCAUCAGAGGGGGAUAACAUCCGGAAACGGAUGCUAAAACCGCAUAGGUCUUCGAACCGCAUGGUUUGAAGAGGAAAAGAGGCGCAAGCUUCUGCUGAUGGAUGGACCCGCGGUGCAUUAGCUAGUUGGUGAGGUAACGGCUCACCAAGGCCGUGAUGCAUAGCCGACCUGAGAGGGUGAUCGGCCACAUUGGGACUGAGACACGGCCCAAACUCCUACGGUAGGCAGCAGUAGGGAAUCUUCCGCAAUGGACGCAAGUCUGACAGAGCAACGCCGCGUGAGUGAAGAAGGUGUUCGGAUCGUAAAACUCUGUUGUUAGAGAAGAACAAGUGCUAGAGUAACUGUUAGCGCCUUGACGGUAUCUAACCAGAAAGCCACGGCUAACUACGUG